CCCUCUUUAUCAAAAACAUCUCCUUUUCUUCAUCAUUUAACCUCUCACCUCCCCAAUCAUGAUUUUAAUCCCCCCACUAUUUUCACUCUCCAAACCUAGCAUAAUCAUUACUUUUUUAAAUCCAACCUCCAAUCAAUCCUUUCAUCACAAAAUAACUCUCUCACCUUAAUUCAAAUACAAUUUUAAUUUUAACUUAAAAACCUUAAAUCUUUUACAAACACCACAACACCCUAUACACUUUAAUAUAAUUUUAUUUAUUUCUUUUUACCCUUCUUUAUUCAUUUAUAUAAAAUUAUAUUUUCUUCCCCUCAUCUAAAAAUUCAUUUAACUUUUUAUUUCUUUAAACACUAAUUACUCAUUCAUUCAUCCUUUAUUUACAUUACAACAAUAAAUUACCUUACCCAUAACACCCUAAUUUUUUUACACACUUCAUAUCCAUAAAAAACCUUCCCACCUCCAUCUUCCAUUAAAACUUAAUUUUCCUCCACAACCUCAAAGUUUCCCUCUCUUCCACCUUUAAAAUUUUACCUCAUCUCACUUCACACCCG
rnacentral:rRNA from 1 species